AGGGGUAUGAGGAAACACUGUUUACGCAUCAUGAAGAGUCUAGUCGCUUACCAACACACGUUAGUGCCAGCAGUGUCCACCUUUCAUCAUAACAACCAAAAAUGCCUCCCUUGUUCAAUUCAGAGAGACCAUAUUCCAGCAGAAACAGAAAUGCCUCAGAUUCUUAACGCUUUAGUGAAGUUGGAUCCACAUUUUGAUCAUUGCAAAUAUUAGAAACAACUUACAUGUUCAACAAGGAUGGACCUUUCUUCCCGUGGUUCUUUAACUUGAGUGUGCGUUAGAAUUGCCUACAGGGCUUGAUCACAGAUCUGCGGGCUCCACUCUCCAAGAAUUUCUGUUUCAGUAGGUCUGUUGUGAGGCUCAAGAAUGGGCAUUUCUAACCAUCCCCGUGAUGCUGAUCUGGGACCCACACUUUGAAAACAACUGCUCUACUCCAUAGGGGGAAAUGAAUGUGUCAGGAAAAAGGUGCUCUGUUUCUGAAGAAAGAGAAACAUGAAAGGUUAGACAAAGAAUAUAAAGGAAGGGACGAGGCAUUUAUUUGAACCUUCAAUUAUAUGCUAUCAUAGUAAGAAGAUGAUUGGACCAUAAAUGCAAAGACAUGUAUUUGCAAUUGCAUUGCUCAAGAAUGCCAGUUAUGUCCAUUAUCCAUCCCUUCAAUGAAACAAAGACCAUCCAUUUUCUUUUAGAGGUAAUCACUACUGUCCAAUGCAAGACACAGAAAAUA
rnacentral:lncRNA from 10 species